rnacentral:rRNA from 1 species
GAUGAACGCUGGCGGCGUGCCUAAUACAUGCAAGUCGAGCGAACGGACGAGAAGCUUGCUUCUCUGAUGUUAGCGGCGGACGGGUGAGUAACACGUGGAUAACCUACCUAUAAGACUGGGAUAACUUCGGGAAACCGGAGCUAAUACCGGAUAAUAUUUUGAACCGCAUGGUUCAAAAGUGAAAGACGGUCUUGCUGUCACUUCUAGAUGGAUCCGCGCUGCAUUGGCUAGUUGGUAAGGUAACGGCUUACCAAGGCAACGAUGCAUAGCCGACCUGAGAGGGUGUUCGGCCACUCUGGAACUGAGACACGGUCCAGGCUCCUACGGGAGGCAGCAGUAGGGAAGCUUCCGCAAUGGGCGAAAGCCUGACGGAGCAACGCCGCGUGAGUGAUGAAGGUCUUCGGAUCGUAAAACUCUGUUAUUGGGGAAGAACAUAUGUGUAAGUAACUGUGCACAUCUUGACGGUACCUGAUCAGAAAGCCACGGCUAACUACGUG